UGGAAGUACGCAUCAACAUAUAUCCACCCAUUUUCAUCUCCAGAACCACCCAAAAAUAUUCUACUCCUAAUCCAGGAGAGAAUAGCCAAAAAUAUUUAUUUCCCCUCUGAAAUAAAUGCUCAAGUUAUCUUGGUUACUACCACUUGCUACAUUAUUCCAGGAAAUGAGUGCUCUAAAAAAGAGAAAAAAAGGUAUACGAGGAAAUAAAAAGGGGCAAGUGCCUGGAACCUCGAAAGAAAAUAAAAAGUGAGACGAGAGGUAAAAAUGGAUAAGUGUCCGACAGUAGAAUUAGGGGUAUAAGAUACCCACCUAAGAGGAAAGAAAAAGAAAAUAUAGAGCAUCUCAUUCUCCUCAAAAAGUUUAAAAGAGCAAGAAAGGUAUGUAUCCCCUCAAAAGAGCAAAAGUAGAAUUAGACUUUCACCAUUGUUAUCACCAUCAUCACCAUACACCAUUCAUUCGCCCCACAUGCACAUCUUGAUUUGACUUAUUAACUUGUUUCUCUGGAUCCAUGGUUUGACUAUACAAUAAAUGUCUUAUAAGUAUGUAUACUUUACCUCCCACCUAUGAGCUCCAGAUGUCAAAGCCUUAUUAGAGUAGGGUGAGAGAGAAGGCAAUAUCACUAUGCCUUAUACCAUAAAUACUACAUAUUUUGAGAGAAUGCAUGUACCAUCACUACCUUAGCGAGGAUCCAGAAAUACCACAAAAGAGAGAUCUGAGAGAGUCAUACAAGGAAUCUCUGAGUUUUAUUUGAAAAUCUGCAAAAACUCCAGAGCUAUAGCUGAUCAAGAAUAAGAGACAUGGCACUUGACUAGACUGUUCUAUCUUUUAAC
rnacentral:lncRNA from 1 species